AAACUGUUUACCCCUGAAGAAUUCCAAAAUUCCAAGCUCAAAACUCUUUACCCCUGAAGAAUUCCAAGCUCAAAACCUUUUACCCCUGAAGAAUUCCAAAAUUCCAAGCUCAAAACCCUUUAUCCCUGAAGAAUUCCAAGCUCAAAACCUUUUACCCCUGAAGAAUUCCAAGCUCAAAACCCUUCACCCCUAAAGAAUUCCAAGCUCAAAACCCUUUACCCCUGAAGAAUU